AUGCUUAUCUGGCGUAGGGGAUACCGUGAUCAUACAGGCGGUACCCCCAGGGCGAGGCUGCUCCACUGCAAUGCGGAGUGGUUGAUCCUUGCGAUUAUUUUUAUUUUUAUCAAUAAAAAAAUCAUAAUAAAAAUGUAUACCCGAAUAAUUAUUUUCUUUAUAC